GUGUUCGGUCGCUGGAUGCGGCGGUUCCCGCCCGGACUGUGUGAGAGUCCAUUGCCUUUAUCAUUAGAGGAAGGAGACGUCGUAACAAGGUUUCCGUAGGUGAACCUGCGGAAGGAUCAUUG
rnacentral:rRNA from 1 species